UACGUAGGGGGCGAGCGUUGUCCGGAUUUAUUGGGCGUAAAGAGCGUGUAGGCGGCCAGGUAGGUCCGCUGUGAAAGUCCGAGGCUCAACCUCGGAAUGUCGGCGGAAACCCUCUGGCUAGAGUCCGGAAGAGGAGAGUGGAAUUCCCGGUGUAGCGGUGAAAUGCGCAGAUAUCGGGAAGAACACCCGUGGCGAAGGCGGCUCUCUGGAACGGUACUGACGCUGAGACGCGAAAGCGUGGGGAGCAAACAGG
rnacentral:rRNA from 1 species